CGCGCGGCUCCACCUGCCUGUGCGGGCCCGCGGGCAGCGCUCCGGGACUACCUCGGCCGGCCACUUGGGUCUCAGGGAGGAGGAAACGGAAGCUCAGACGGCCGCCGGGCCGCUCCAAGCUCCGGGACGGCCGCUGCGCGCUCCCGGCCUGCUGCUCCCCGGAGGCCGCGGAGGGCACAACAAAGGCCCCCCGGGCAGCCUGCUUGGGGACCGGCCCUUGCACUCGCUGGGCCUGGUUCUGGCUUUGCUUUGUUUGUUUUUGCUUUUCUGCGGUCCUUAAACUCUGAGAUUUCUCCCGGUUCCGGUUCGAGACUCUGGGUUAAGUAAGGGACUCAUGUACGCUGACUGGAAUGAACCUCACUACAUAGCUGAAGCCUCCCUCCCUGCCCGCAGAGGGUUCUCUGUGCAACCCAGGCUAUUGUGGAACUCACACUAGACCAGGCUGCCUCAAACUCCGAGACCUACCUACCUGCUUCUGCUUCCUGAGUGCUGGGAUCAGAAGCGGAGGCUGAGCACUGUCACCAUUAUGCUGGCUCCUGGAGCCAUCUUCAUCUUGAAUCUGACAGCAAGUGAUACAAAGGAGAAGAAUGGGCUGGAGAGAUGGCUCAGCAGUUAAGAGCACUGAUUGCUCUUCUAGAGGUCCUGAGUUCAAAUCCCAGCAACCAUAUGGUGGCUCACAACCACGUAUAAUUUUGAUCUGAUCCCCUCUUCUGGGAUGUCUGAAGACAGCUACAGUGUACUUAUAUAUAAAAUAAAUAGUCUGGAGGGAAAGAUUCACAAGCCAGGCCUCCAUCUUCUGCACUAUUUUCAACAUUUUCUUCCAAGCUCCUACAGAGCAUUCCACAGAGCUCUUAACAUCCGAAUGGCUCUUCUAACUCGAAGUUCCAAAAUCCUUCCACAGUCCUCCCCAAAACAUGGUCAGGUUGUCACAGGAAUACCCCACGAUGCUGGUACCAAUUUGUCUUAGUCAGGGUUUCUAUUCCUGCACAAAACAUGACCAAGAAGCAAG